AGAUUGAACGCUGGCGGCGUGCCUAACACAUGCAAGUCGAGCGGUAGCAGGUGUAGCAAUACAUGCUGACGAGCGGCGAACGGGUGAGUAAUGCUUCGGAAUCUACCCACGGGUGGGGAAUAACCAACCGAAAGGUUGGCUAAUACCGCAUAAGUCCUACGGGGGGAAAGCGGGGGGAUCGAAAGACCUCGCGCCGGUGGAUGAGCCGAAGCCGGAUUAGCUAGUUGGUAGGGUAAUGGCCUACCAAGGCGACGAUCCGUAGCUGGUCUGAGAGGACGACCAGCCACACUGGGACUGAGACACGGCCCAGACUCCUACGGGAGGCAGC
rnacentral:rRNA from 1 species